UGUACUUGUUCUAUUUUUAUCAACGUAUACUCGUCAAGCCCGUUUGAGUAGUAUGGUCAGUUAUUUAUACUGCUGGGUGUUGGCUAGUGUUUGUCAGAUGAGGUCUGGACGCCGGGAGUUAUACUUUACCCAUGCUGAGUGAUCGUGGGUGUGCCUUUUAUAUUACCCAUGCUGUGUGAACUUGGGUGUGUUAUGUUCCCCGCUGUGUGAUCUUGGGAUUCAGGGAUGUUUUGUAGCAGUGUUGAGAGCAAGACCUGGGGGCCGACAGUAUGAUUUUUAUGUAUAAAAUGCCACAGCUCAGUGACCAAAAUUGUAUAUUAAGCUUUUGUUCUGGACGGGAGGAUUGGUGUAUGUGGUGAGGCUACUUUUAGGAUAUGAUGGACCCGAAGGGACAAUAUGGUGGACCAUACAUUGCGACGUGGUGUGAAGUGUGAAUCUGUCCAGUGAUGACCAUGAUUGAACUUUUCGCCGUUUUCAUGUUUAUUGUACAUAUGUAGAUAAAUUUAUUGUUAAUUAU